GACGUAGGGGGCGAGCGUUGUCCGGAUUCAUUGGGCGUAAAGCGCGCGUAGGCGGCCCGGUAAGUCGGAUGUGAAAUCUCACGGCUCAACCGUGGAACUGCAUUCGAAACUGUCGGGCUAGAGGCAGGUAGGGGAGAUCGGAAUUCCCGGUGUAGCGGUGAAAUGCGCAGAUAUCGGGAGGAACACCGGUGGCGAAGGCGGAUCUCUGGGCCUGUCCUGACGCUCAGGCGCGAAAGCUAGGGGAGCGAACGAGG
rnacentral:rRNA from 1 species